UGGGGAAUUGUUCGCAAUGGGCGCAAGCCUGAUCCAGCCAUGCCGCGUGAGUGAAGAAGGCCUUCGGGUUGUAAAGCUCUUUUACCAGGGACGAUAAUGACGGUACCUGGAGAAUAAGCCCCGGCAAACUUCGUGCCAGCAGCCGCGGUAAUACGAAGGGGGCUAGCGUUGUUCGGAAUUACUGGGCGUAAAGCGCACGUAGGCGGAUUGUUAAGUCAGAGGUGAAAUCCCGGAGCUCAACUUCGGAACUGCCUUUGAUACUGGCAAUCUCGAGUCCGGAAGAGGUUAGUGGAAUUCCCAGUGUAGAGGUGAAAUUCGUAGAUAUUGGGAAGAACACCAGUGGCGAAGGCGGCUAACUGGUCCGGUACUGACGCUGAGGUGCGAAAGCGUGGGGAGCAAACAGGAUUAGAUACCCAUGUAGUCCCUGAGCGGGCUGGCAAGGCGCAU
rnacentral:rRNA from 1 species